AUGCAGGGCUCCUUGAGACCCCUUCUAUGCAGGGCACAGAAUGGCAGAGAGGAUCUGCGCCUACCCACUUUGCAGGGACACAAAAGUGGGCAUACACGCUCCACAUCCCUCCCACCCCCACCCCUACCGCCCACUUCUGCAGAGCACAGAGCGUCCAGGGCCCCUCUCCAGCCCCUCCUUCCUCUGCAGGGCACGCAGCCGGGUAUACAGAGCUCCCGGACCCCUUCGGACCCCUCCCUGCGCGACUCGCGCGGCUUCCACCCGGGGCUCGGCCUCAAAGCCUCCUCAGUUGUCGGCCUGGAAAGCACCCAGCGGCAGCAGCGGAGGCAGCGCGCCGUUAGCUCAGCUUCGGGAAGCAUCCGCAGCCGCCAGCAGGCCCCGCCCAGCGGCCGCGGCGAGCAAGGCCGCGCCAGGGACGACUGCAGAGCGCGCCUUUUCCAGGUGUCUGACCUCAUCCGCCUCCAGAGCCGGACCUUUCUCCAUCGGGGUCUUCAGCUAAGACCGCUGGUGAGUGGGCUGGAGGCCAGGACUCCCAGGUCUGAGGGAGGAGGGCUUGUGGGUCCGGACCCCUGGGUCUGGGGGAGGUCGGGCUGGGGGCCCGGAAUCCCAGGUCUGAGGGAGGAGAGGCUGGGGGCCUGGACCCCUGGGUCUGAGGGAGGAGGGGCUGGGGGCCUGAACUCCCAGGUCUGAGAGAGGAGGGGCUGGGGGCCUGAACUCCCAGGUCUGAGAGAGGAGGGGCUGGGGGCCUGGACUCCUGGGUCAGAGGGAGGAGGGGACUAGAGGCCUGGACUCCUGGAUCCUGAGAGAAGGACCUGGAAGCUUAGGUUCCAAGGAGAAGCCCAGACACCUGUGCAUCUGAGGAAGAAAUGUGUCUGGGAACUGGACUCCUGUGUGCUCAGGGAGCUAUUGUUCAGGUAUGGUGGGCCCCAGAGGAGCUCAAAGCCUGUUAGACUGCCCUCCUCUGUGUCCCACACUAGAAGGAGGAAGUUUUGUUUCCUUGUGGCUGAGUGAGGCCUUUUGAGCUGUUGAAGGGCAGCAGCUGAGAGAUGAGACAUUUUAGGGCCUGAGGCACGAUCUGGACACCUGGUCAGGAAUCGAGGCUGGGCCCUGGAUUCCUAAAUGUCUUUAGGACAAAAAGGUCUCGGAGGGACGGAAGAAAGAAGCUGAUUUUUCAGAGUAUAGGUGUCUGGCGUGCUCAGGGCUGAGGGCCUGGCCGGAGUCCUGAGGUCUGAAGCUGUUUAACGGAGCAGGAGAGGCCCAGAGAUUUCAGUGCAAAGGGCCUGGGCACUGCACAGUCCAGCUGGGGAGCUGACUUUCCUGGAAGUUGGAGAACUAGCUGGCUGGGUUCCUGAGGGGCGCUGGACCCCAUGUGGAGGAGCGGGAUAGUCAGGAGGAAGCUCAGCUUCCCGUGGGUUGGAGUACUAAAGACGUAAAUCCCAGGUGGAGGUAGACUGAGGACGAAGGCUCCUGUCUCUGAGGUGGGAGGGUGGGCAUGGGAGGGGGGUGCCGCCGAGAGGUAAGGCCCACUUCCAGAAGGGAGGGGAAGCUCCUGGUCUUCCAGGAGCUGGGAGCGGACACCUGCUCCGUGAGAGGAGACAGAUUGGGAAGUUGGAAGCUCAGAUCAGAUGUGGUCCCUGAGAACAUACGCAUGUGGAGGUUGGGGUCUUGAAUGUUUGUAGGUUAGAAAUGC
rnacentral:lncRNA from 1 species